UAUCAUGGGUGUACUGGGCACAUGCGUCCAGGAUCAAGAGCACUGGAGGAGGCCUUCCUGAACCUCCGCAACCCUGGGACACACGCUGGGUCAUGAACACAGCCCACACUGGCAACCAGCACAGUUUGGGGGUCAAUCUCUACCUCACAGUGUACAGGAAAAGUACAAUUAAACUGCCCGGAACUUUGGUCAUAACAAACUGCUUCUAAAUGGCUCCCAGGGGCUUUCUUGUGUUAUUUCAGUAACAAUACCAAUUUAAAUGGAUAACCCUGAUUUCUAAAAAUCCAAAGCCAUAUAUUAUUAAUAGUCUUUGAGAAACAUAAGCCGUAUAUCAGUUAACCUCAUGGAGUCUCUUUUGGGGGCCAUGGAGGCUGAGUUUUCUUGGAAGCACUCACCUAGUGACACCAGAUUAUUGACCAGAACAUGCCCGAGUGUACCUUUAGACGGCACCCUUGAUUUUCACCAGUAAAACCCUGGGAAGUGUUUGAACAAAGGCAGCCCUAUUUUUAGUGAACAUUCAUGCUGAUUAAUAGGGCAGGAGAGUUUGGGGGGGAGUGGGAGAAAGUAGAGGGUUUGGAUGAAUGCCGGGGUGCAGAAAAGGCAGUCUUUUCAGCAUUUCGGGGCCCACAGCCUCACAGCGCUGCUUGCUUCUCAGCCAAGUGGAAACUGCACUCGGCACAGCGGCAGAUGAUCAGCUGCACUCAUAUUACCUUAUGUCACCAAGACGGUGAAGACAAGUUUCUGAAAUGAUUUUUCAUCCAAAGCCCUGAAAUGAUUUUGGGAAAGUCGAUAUUUUAAAAGGCCAUUUUCCUGAGAUAAGAACUGAGUUUGACGUCUGGGAUGAGGAUCUUGAUCAAGAGAAACAACCUUCACACCAAAGGGGGAUGCCUUGCCUGAAAGAGUGAGCUAACUAUGUUAAAUUUAGAAAAGAACAAUGGAGUUGACUUUAGCAUGUUUUCUACUGUGAUCUCUGUUACCCAGAAACAAAUACUAAAUGACGUUAAUGUCACUUUAAUUCUUUAAAAUGUUAAGUGGAAAUGGGGAAAAAGAACAAUCACUGGGCAUGAGAAAAAUUGCUGUCUUAAAAAAUCCAACAUCUAGAAUUAUAUGAAUAAGUACCCCCCAGAUACUCAGCAGUUGUCAAUAAUAUUUUUAACAGGGCUUGGAUCACCAGAAGUCAGGCAUGGGCACCUCAGCCCCCAGUGUUUUGUGGCCGUGAGGUGGCUGGAGACAGCUUAGUGUUUUCCCACCUUACAUCAGAUAGAAAAAAGUUGCUAAGAGCCCAGCAAUGCUCACGCACAUGAUGUAAAAGUGAAAAUGCACACAGAAUUCAAUUACAUCUUGCAAGAAAAGUGACUGAGACAUGUCACAAAAGUUGGGCAAGGAAGAAUUACCCAACUAACGUCAGAGUUCCUAUAUCAGACUGUGAUCACUUUAGAUUUGCCAAAGAAACAAAAUAAAUGAUGAAUUAAUCCUUGAUAUUACUCUAAU
rnacentral:lncRNA from 1 species